rnacentral:rRNA from 1 species
UACGUAGGGGGGCAAGCGUUUGUCCGGAAUUAUUGGGCGUAAAGCGCGCGCAGGCGGCUUUGUAAGUCUGGUGUUUAAACCUAGGGCUCAACCCUGGGUCGCAUUUGGAAACUGCAAGGCUUGAGUGCAGAAGAAGGAGAGUGGAAUUCCACUGUGUAGCGGUGAAAUGCGUAGAGAUGUGGAGGAACACCAGUGGCGAAGGC